rnacentral:rRNA from 1 species
AACGAACGCUGGCGGCAGGCUUAACACAUGCAAGUCGAACGCGUGUAGCAAUACACGAGUGGCGCACGGGUGAGUAACGCGUGGAUAUCUGCCUUUUGGUUCGGAAUAACUCCGGGAAACUGGAGCUAAUACCGGAUGGUUCCUACGGGAUAAAGAUUUAUCGCCAAAAGAUGAGUCCGCGUACGAUUAGCUAGUUGGUGAGGUAAUGGCUCACCAAGGCGACGAUCGUUAGCUGGUCUGAGAGGACGAUCAGCCACACUGGGACUGAGACACGGCCCAGACUCCUACGGGAGGCAGCAGUGGGGAAUAUUGGACAAUGGGGGCAACCCUGAUCCAGCCAUGCCGCGUGAGUGAUGAAGGCCUCGGUGUAAGCUCUUUGGUCGGGACGAUGAUGACGGUACCGCAGAUAAGCCCGGCUAACUUCGUGCCAGCAGCCGCGGUAAU